rfam:Candidatus Magnetoovum chiemensis strain CS-04 SAG2176, whole genome shotgun sequence.
GCCAAGGUAGCACAGUGGUAGUGCAGCUGAUUCGUAAUCAGCAGGUCGUGGGUUCAAAUCCCAUCCUUGGCU